AACGCACAUGGGUUGGCGGCGAAUGGGAAGUCGCGGCGGGGCGAGGGCGAGUGCGGGGGCGGGGCCCGGACCGAAGGGCUUCCGCCUCCCGUCGCUCCUCCCCACCGUGAGGCGAACCUCAGCCGGUUUCCCAGCCCCGCCGAGGCCCGCUGGGGCGAAGCGGAGCCCCGGGGGGCCCUGAGGAAACCGGCGCGGGUUCGUUUAAUUACGCCCUUCUCGCCAGACCUCUGGCUGGCCCUGAGCUGCUCAGAAGCCCAUCUGCGCGGCAUGCCCGUGCGAUCUGAGACAACUGGCAGCUGUCUUCCUUUGCAAAACGAGACUGUUAAUAAAACCUACCCCAGGGUAGGACGGACUGUUCGCAGAUGAAUGGAUAAGCAACCUGGAGCAUAUCCAUACAAUGGAAUACUACUGAGCAAGAUGAAAGAACAAACUGCUGAUACACACAGCAACACAUCUGACUCUCAAGUGAAGAAAGCCCCUUUCAAGAGGCUGCAUAUAAUAGACUCCAUUCAUAUGACAUCCAGAAAAGGCAAAACUAUAGGUCGGGCACAGUGGCUCACGCCUGUAAUCCCAGCACUUUGGGAGGCCGAGGUGGGCAGAUCACGAGGCCAGGAGUUCAAGACCAGCCUGGCCAACAUGGUGAAAACCCAUCUCUAUGAAAAAUACAAAAAUUAGCUGGGCGUGGUGGUGGGCACCUAUAAUCCCAGCUACUCGGGAGGCUGAGGCAGGAGAAUCAAUUGAACCAGGGAGGCAGGGGUUGCAAUGAGCUGAGAUGACACCAUUGCACUCCAGCCUGGGCAACAGGGCAAGGAUCCAUCUCAAAAAAAAAAAAAGGCAAAACUGUAGAGAGAAAAAAUGAUCAGUUCUUGCCAGGGGGCUCAAGAUGGGAUGAGGUAUUUACUACGAAAGCGCAUGAGAGAAUUUUGAGGGGAGAGAAAGGUGAUAGAUUUGUUCUAUGUUUUGAUUAUAGUGGUGAUUAAAUAACUCUGUAUUUGCCAUAAUGCAUAGAACAGUAUUGUAUUAGUCCAUUCUCACACUGCUAUAAAGAAAUACUUGCGACUGGGUAAUUUAUAAAGAAAAGAGGUUUAAGGCCAGGUGCGGUGGCUCAAGCCUGUAAUCCCAGCACUUUGGGAGGCCGAGGCGGGUGGAUCACGAGGUCAGGAGAUCGAGACCAUCUUGGCUAACACGGUGAAACCC
rnacentral:lncRNA from 1 species